CACCUAUCUCUGCUGGCAAAGAGCUUUUUUCUCUUGCUUAUCAAACUUUCACUCCAACCUCACCUUUGUGUUCAUGCUCCUUAAUCUCCUUAGAGGUAGAAAAAAGAACUCUGGGUGUGAUCUCAGACUACGAGAUACUGUUACAUCUUGGUGCACUGCUGAGACUACAGCACUUGGUUCCUAUAAGUUUGACUGACUAAAUAUUUUAUAUAAGUGUAAUUAUACGAUUUCCUUUUUGACUGUCUUGUUUUACUUUACCGAAUGUUUUCAAGAUUUGUCCUUAUUGUAGUACUUUUCAAGAUUUCCUUAUUUUUAAGGCUGAAUGCUAUCCCAGUGAAUAUACGUGCCCUGUUUGUUGAAUCUACUCAUCCUUAAAGUGGAAGAGAGACUAUCCCUGUCUUUACACCCGGUGGCAUUUCCAACAGUAAGCUGGGAGAUUCUUCUUGAAAUCAGCUCUCAAACAAAUAAAAAACAGACCUGGGAAAUGUGCUACACUCAUUCUGCUGAAGAAAUCGGUAAGUAAUAAUUUUUAGCAAAUGAAAUAUAUUACUACUUAAUUGUAUUCAAAAUCCACCAACUUAAUGUGUUUAUAAAUAUUUUCAUACAUUUGAAGCUCCACUGACAAAACAUAAUUUACAGUUAAUGAAAAAGUGAAGUGAAAAUAAAUACAAUAAUAUUUUCAAACUGACAAAAUUAGAAGGUGACAAUGCCAAUUGAAACACAGACAUAUCUGACCCAAGGGUCAAGUCAAGCCAUUCUAUGACUUGGGAUAUUUUCCCUGCUCCUAUCUUGUUCAGUGAAGUGGGUCAUGAGCGUCCUACCAGGAGCCGCUACGCUGUGCUCCACUGUGUCUGUGAGGGGCAUUUUACUUUGCGGAUUUUUGCACUGCCUCACUGGGUUGGGUCUCUUUGUCUUUUGAAACAUUCUCUCUCCCUUCACCAAUCUGAGAAUAUUUUUUCCUCAGUAUCAGCAUCCAGUUGCCUGGACUGCAGUGUGUCUCUAAGGAAUGGAAACCAAGCGUUGGGGGCAAGAAUGUUUUCUAAGACCCCGAACUCUAGAUUUGCGAUGCGGCAAAUCCUGAAGCGUACAUGGAUCUCUCUCACAACUAAAGUAUCCCUCACCCUUAUCCAGCUCUUCUUACCCCUGGCGCGAGAGAAUCACCUGUGGGGAGGAAAACUUUCAAAAUCCCUUAAACCCAAGUUGUAACCGAUCAAUUAAAUCAGAAUCCUUGGAGUUGGAUCUGAAAAAAACACGGUUUAAAGUUGUGCAGGUGAUUACAAUGUGUAGGCAAGCCACAAACCAUGGGUUUAACCAGCAACUUUUGUUAGAAAUGAUGUCUCAAAUGAAUGUAAAAAUGUUUGCUGCUGAAUUGUGACCUUUCAAUUUUACUUGCUUUUCCUACAAAGUAUAUUUUGCAGACCCAGGCAGUGCUGCUCACUCUAUUCCUGAUUCAUCGAGUACCGUGUGUGCUCAGUGCAUCCUGUGCACGAGUCACUGUGCUGUGUGCCCUGGCCUGGGUGAGCAUCAUUCUUCGGGGAGAACCUUGCUGAAAACAAAGCUGCAUUCCAAAAAGUUAAAACCAUGCUACUUACUGUGUUGAGGUUAAAAUUAAAAGACCUAGGGGACUCAUCCAAAAGUUAAAACAUAAAUAAAUAACUUGGAACAUUAAUAUACACCUGAUGAUGUCCUGAGUGAACAUGCCCCACUUUAAAACAAAACAAAACAUUACUAUUAUUCUAAAAUAUUAAUUUAGGGUUUUUAUGCAAAUAUGUACAAUUUAAAUUUGUAUUGAUAUAUAACAUGCAUACCGCAAUAUAGGCCCAAAACAUUUAUGGAAGGCUUGAUGAGUUAUUACAAAAUAAAUACACUUGUGUAUCUAAGAAUCAGAUUUGUUCAUGCUCUUGACACUUUCUCCUUCCAAAAGGUAACCAAGACUUUAAGAGAUAAGUGCAGAUAAACUUUGUCAUUUUGUACAAGUGUUUUAUUACAGAACAUUAAAAACGUAUACACGAGACAAAAAAAGUAUAACAGACCAGUCACUCAGCUUUAACAGCUACUAUUCAUGUGCCAUUUUUGUGUCACUUAUACUUCCAGCCAUUCCCCCACCAAUUUCAUUAUUUUUUAGGCUUUUUGGAUAAAAUGUAUAUUCAUUGCAAGGUACAAUGUGAACUGUAAAUAAUAGAGAGAUGGGGUUUCACCAUGUUGGCCAGGCUGACCUUGAACUCCUCACCUCAGGCGAUCCAACCGCUUCAGCUUCCCAAAGUGCUGGGAUUACAGGCAUGAGCCAAUAUACUCGGCCUGAGAAUUCAUAUUUCUAACAAAGUACAAAUCCAUAGGUCACAUGACAACUGCAAUAUCUAUCUACAGUAGAUACAAUUUGAUGAAUAAAAUGAAAGGCAAUUGACCUAAGGUGAAAAAAAAAAUCAAAGGAAUGCUAUUACGUGCUAUCUGUAGGAGCAUUUGGUUAAGAAUAACAAACAUACCAAUUUUAUCGUUUUAAUAACCGAAAUUGUCAAAAUUUCUAGUUUUUCUUUCAUAGAAAUGCUCUCUGCAAGAAAAAAUUUUCAUAUAGUGAGAGCAAAAAUGGCAACCAUUUGCAAGUAAAUGUCUUAUGAAAUUAAGUAGCAGAUACCAACCUCACGACCUUCAGAUAGUUAACCCAAACUCAAUCAUUUACAUAGCAAGUGCAGAUAAUUUUCAUAGCUUCCUAUUAAAAUUAUAUUUGAAAACCCUUACAAAUUGUGACUGUUUUCAAACAAAGUUCACUAACUAAAAUUUUGUAUAUGACAUAUGAUAAAUUCCACUUCAAGUCACCUUACAUUUAUUUAAUUUUAUUAGGCAGUGUCUGCCUAUCACCCAGUAAUACUUGGGGAUUCUCCCUCCAUUUGCACAGGCAUCCUAGCUGGGGAAACAGGGAUUCAAAAGACCCAGGCUGUUCCCUACAUAUAUUUCCUCCUCAGACAUCAGUUCAUCAGUCAAUCAAGUCAUGUGAGAGUGGAUGCCGUGUAUUCCCUAUUAAUCUUGGGCACUCUCCUCCAAGGAGGAAAAGGCCAGGAGGUCCUGUUAGAGGAUGUACUCUGAGAGGCCGGGAUCCCUAAGGUGUGAGAGUUCUAACCAGCAGGUGUAGACUUUUCAGGAGUGAGGAAUGAGGCAGGUAUUCCAAACCUGAAGCUUCAUCACCUUUUGUUUCAUCUCAAGACAACUCUGAGGGGCUGUUUUGGAACGUGUCUGGAAGGUGAACAUUGAAGAAGAGUGUAGGCUUUGAUGUGACUCAGAUAAGAUCCUUCAGGGGAGGCAGGAAUUUAAUGCCCAGAAUCUGGGCUGGUAUCUUUGAGGUCAGUAGGUUGCCUUUUGGUAUCCAAGUCCAUUGUUACUAGGUUGAAGGCUGGAGAUUCUAAAUGGCUUCCAGACCACCUCUCUGAUUCUCUUUUGGAGAUGGGGUCUGAAAAAGACAAUGUCAGUAUUUUUGGGAAAUUCUGGAAAGUCUGUUUGGAAACCUGUGAAGACCUCUUGCUUAGUGCCUAAAUGCUCAAUGUGCAGCUCUAGCCAUGUAGAUGUUUGGUAGGUACAGAGCUGGGUUUGCAUUUAUAUCAGCAAAACCUAUGGCAGAGCUGAAGAGGUAAUCAGGACAAAGUGUCUUGGUCGCAGGCCAGAGAACAUCUUAAAAGCAAACUUCUAGCCUGCUGACUCUUGGCAAUGAGUGUUGGGUCCUGGCCAAAGUGCCUUGAAUGCAGCAUGAAGCCAAUCCAUAAAUCCAACUUCUAAUGGAGAAAUGUUAAUAUUUUUUCAGUUGAAUCAAUCCGGGUGAAAUUACCAUGCUAUUGGUUUGUUUACUUUUUAUUAUUUCAUAUAAAAUCUAA